rnacentral:rRNA from 1 species
GACGAACGCUGGCGGCGUGCUUAACACAUGCAAGUCGAACGGAAAGGCCCUGCUUUUGUGGGGUGCUCGAGUGGCGAACGGGUGAGUAACACGUGAGUAACCUGCCCUUGACUUUGGGAUAACUUCAGGAAACUGGGGCUAAUACAGGAUAGGAGCUCCUGCUGCAUGGGGGGGGUUGGAAAGUUUCGGCGGUGGGGGAUGGACUCGCGGCUUAUGAGCUUGUUUGUGGGGUAGUGGCUUACCAAGGCUGUGACGGGUAGCCGGCCUGGGAGGGGGACCGGCCACAUGGGGACUGCGAUACGCACCAGACGCCUACGGGAGGCAGCAGUGGGGAAUAUGGCGCAAUGGGCGGAAGCCUGAUGCAGCAACGCCGCGUGCGGGAUGCCGGCCUUCGGGUUGUAAACCGCUUUCGCCUGUGACGAAGCGUGAGUGACGGUAAUGGGUAAAGAAGCACCGGCUAACUACGUG